AUGAGUAAAUUUCUUAGUGGUUUCUUCUGUUUGCCCAUUGAAUCUGCUCACAAGAGAUGUGAUAAUUCUAAGCUGGAGGAAGUUGUGGAAGAGGCUACCAAGCUCCAGGAAGCUGCAGUUGAGGAAGAACAGAAGCUUGCCAGUACUGAGAAGUAUGUUACCUUGCUAGCAAUGGAGGAUUCACAUAUCUUAGGUGUCAUUUCGAUGUCCACAUCGGAACCAGCCAUCAAGAGCAUUGAAGGUGCCUCAACUGAAGAUGGUGAGAGCGGCAAAUGGUCACCGGUGUUGGAGAUAGAUGUGCCAGUGAAGAUAAGGAAGUAG
rnacentral:rRNA from 1 species